GAUGAACGCUGGCGGCGUGCCUAAUACAUGCAAGUCGAGCGAACAGACGAGGAGCUUGCUCCUCUGACGUUAGCGGCGGACGGGUGAGUAACACGUGGAUAACCUACCUAUAAGACUGGGAUAACUUCGGGAAACCGGAGCUAAUACCGGAUAAUAUAUUGAACCGCAUGGUUCAAUAGUGAAAGACGGUUUUGCUGUCACUUAUAGAUGGAUCCGCGCCGCAUUAGCUAGUUGGUAAGGUAACGGCUUACCAAGGCGACGAUGCGUAGCCGACCUGAGAGGGUGAUCGGCCACACUGGAACUGGGACACGGUCCAGACUCCUACGGGAGGCAGCAGUAGGGAAUCUUCCACAAUUGGCGAAAGCCUGACCGAGCAACGCCGCGUGAGUGAUGAAGGUCUUCGGAUCGUAAAACUCUGUUAUUAGGGAAGAACAAAUGUGUAAGUAACUAUGCACGUCUUGACGGUACCUAAUCAGAAAGCCACGGCUAACUACGUG
rnacentral:rRNA from 1 species